CUGGUGGCAGCCCCGGCCUUCUGCUGCGUCAUGCGAGCGUGCAGUCUCUCCUGCCGAAGAUUGUGGAGCUCUCUGAAGAAUUCGACCGGUUCAUGUGCGGCCUGGCGACCUUCUGCGACAAAUGGCUGAAGCCUCCCCGCUCGAGCCGCCUGCUGGUUGCUCCCGGCCACCAGCUGCUGCUCGGCGCCGACAAGCCGGACGGCCAGGGCUGUGCAGCGGGGCGCGCUGCUCGUGCGUGACGGCAUAAACCACACCAAAGUCACGAUCGUCGCCCGAGUAUUCCCGGCAGCAAGAUGCAGGCGAUUUGGACGCCGUGGAAGCUUCACGGGCUUUGUGAGAAAGGAGAGCGGAAGUGGUGGAACAAGACUGCAUGCACCUAGGGUUUUCUGCCAAGACUGCUCGCACGGGGACCCCCAUGCGGGGCUUUGGCUGGGCGCUUGGACGGGCUUCCGCCAGAGGGCCCGCACAUCGCUGACGCAUGUAGCGUGCCCCGGAUAACACAGGCGUGGCGAGGAUGCAGGACGAAACGAGAAGGAGGGACAACCAUUUUCGAGAGAAGUAACGGUGCGAAUAACCCGGGCGAGAGGAGCGCGACAGCCAGAUCAGCCAGCUGCACAGAUGCCUGCUCAACACCCAGUUCGGCAUACUGCAGGGACGGUAUUUGUCGGGCUCGAUCCAUAUAACCCGCGACUUGUAUUCGAAGUUGAUAAGACGUAUCUGUAUAAUGGACGUGUCUUCCAAGCGGAAAAGGACCAUUAAGCCCUGUUGGAACAUGAUGCGUAACUGACCUUGACUUAACUAACAGGAUGAAACGCGACAAUAAUGACGCGAUGACGGGGAGUAAAGCUGAGAAAAAUGAAUAAGUGAAAUGGCAGGCGAAUUUUCGGACGUAGCGGAUUUCCAGGUUUGGGGAAAGGGGGAGAAGCCUAGUUGGAGAUAUCACGAAAGAGUCACAACACACUGGAGCAGAGAGUAUGGCGUUCCCCGUGCGUGCGUUACGGUGACUCCCUCCUGUUCCCUUAUCAACCCUGCUACCCACCACCUGGAGAUAACCUACCGCUGAGAGUUCAUGACUCUCUGCUUCAUUCUGCUCAUCUUUUGUAGUCGGUGCCGUCCCGUCAUCGUCGCUUUAUCAUCCUGCCGGCGCCCAAGGCAGCCAUACUUCAUUAUUUUUCUUCAUAGGUCCUAGCGGUAACUUCCUCCUCAAAUUAUCAAGAUGUCCUGCAUACAUGACGCUUUCCGCCGAUUACAUAAAUAUAUGAUCCGCCUGUUCAUGAA